ACUGAGGACUCGUCCUGAGAUGGACAGUCCAGACAUGGAACUUUUAGAGAUUUCUCCUCGACCGAGAUGAUCAGAGAGGUCCUGAAUGUCUGCCUUGCACAAAGUUCCGGUUUUGCCCAUCACACUCAAACUUUCUAGGGAUGGGAAAUGAGAGAGGAGGAGUUUGCAGUAUCAAAGGCAUACACUAGUUGGGCACCCGAGAAAGAGCAGAAGCUCCCUAUUCCCAAGCCCAGUCAACGCCCUUGGCGUGGGCACAGGUCAAGCUGAAAGUCCCCGCCCAGGUAUCCAAGUGUCCGCUGUGUCCGCUCCCCCAGGUGCAGGGCGCCGCGCACUUCGGGCCGGUGUGGCUAGCCAGCUUUGGGACAGUGCGCACCGUGUACGUGGCUGCCCCUGCACUCGUCGAGGAGCUGCUGCGACAGGAGGGACCCCGGCCCGAGCGCUGCAGCUUCUCGCCCUGGACGGAGCACCGCCGCUGCCGCCAGCGGGCUUGCGGACUGCUCACUGCGGAAGGCGAAGAAUGGCAAAGGCUCCGCAGUCUCCUGGCCCCG
rnacentral:lncRNA from 1 species